AGUUGUUGCGGUUAAAAAGCUCGUAGUUGGAUCUCAGUUCGGGAGGGAAGGUCCACCUAUCGGUGGUCACUUUCCCGUCCCAACACCGGCCGGUUUCUGUAGAUGAUCUUCACCGGUUGUCUGCGGUGACCGGCAAGUUUACUUUGAAAAAAUUAGAGUGCUCAAAGCAGGCGCGACGCCUGAAUAAUGGUGCAUGGAAUAAUGGAAUAGGACCUCGGUUCUAUUUUGUUGGUUUUCGGAACACGAGGUAAUGAUUAAGAGGGACAGACGGGGGCAUUCGUAUUGCGACGCUAGAGGUGAAAUUCUUGGACCGCCGCACGACGA
rnacentral:rRNA from 1 species